rnacentral:rRNA from 1 species
CCUACGGGUGGCAGCAGUGGGGAAUAUUGCACAAUGGGCGCAAGCCUGAUGCAGCAACGCCGCGUGAAGGAAGAAGGCUUUCGGGUUGUAAACCUCUUUUAGGAGGGAAGAGCAGAAGACGGUACCUCUUGAAUAAGCCACGGCUAACUACGUGCCAGCAGCCGCGGUAAUACGGAGGUGGCAAGCGUGGUCCGGAUGUACUGGGUGUAAGGGGCGUGUAGCCGGGCUGACAAGUCAGAUGUGAAAGCCCGUGGCUCAACCACGGAACUGCAUUUGAAACUGUCGGUCUUGAGUAUCGGAGAGGCAGGCGGAAUUCCUAGUGUAGCGGUGAAAUGCGUAGAUAUUAGGAGGAACACCAGUGGCGAAGGCGGCCUGCUGGACGACAACUGACGGUGAGGCGCGAAAGCGUGGGGAGCAAACAGGAUUAGAUACCCGAGUAGUC